rnacentral:rRNA from 1 species
CAAUAGCGUAUAUUUAAGUUGUUGCAGUUAAAAAGCUCGUAGUUGGAUUUCGGGUGGGACGCAGCGGUCUCGCAUUGCGUUUGUACUGCUGCAGCCCUCCUUCUUGCCGGGGCGGCCUCUCGGACUUCACUGUCUGGGGGUCAGAAUCGGCGAUGUUACUUUGAGUAAAUUAGAGUGUUCAAAGCAAGCUUACGCUCUGAAUAUAAUAGCAUGGGAUAACACGACAGGACUCUGGCCUAUCGUGUUGGUCUAUAGGACCAGAGUAAUGAUUAAGAGGGACAGUCGGGGGCAUUCGUAUUCCGUUGUCAGAGGUGAAAUUCUUGGAUUUACGGAAGACGAACAUCUGCGAAAGCAUUUGCCAAGGAUGUUUUCAUUGA